rnacentral:lncRNA from 1 species
UGGCGGCCCGAGGCUCCGCCCUCUCAGAGGCGCGGACGGUGGAACCCCGCGCCUUUUGUGUGGAGCUCCGGUGCUGCGCGCGCUCAUCCACCUCCGCCGACGCACGCGUGCGCACCCCCCUCAGCGGGCGGAGGGCGUACCUUCCCGCGCGCGCCCCCCGUCCGGGCUUGAGGCUGACUCGCUCGCGCGCUCCCCGGGGGCCGCCGCCCCGAGUUGCGAUCGAGCACGCGCGCUCCCGCCGGUCGGACCCCGCUGCUCGCCCCCUCCCCACCCCUUCGGCGGCGGCACGCGCACGCGCACGCGCCGGCCGGGCACGCGCGCCCGCCAAGAUGGCAGGGGCCGGGGCCCAGCUGUCAGUCGCCGCCGCCGCCGCAGCCUUUCUCCGCAGCUAGCGGCCCGGACGCCCGCCCGAGAAGAUGCGCCCCCGCCGCCCGCCGCAGCCCAGCCACUCGCGGAGCCGCCGCGCCCGGGGCCGGCUCCCCCGCUAGCCCCGCGC